rnacentral:rRNA from 1 species
UCGGCAAUGGACGAAAGUCUGACCGAGCAACGCCGCGUGAGUGAAGAAGGUUUUCGGAUCGUAAAGCUCUGUUGUAAGUCAAGAACGUGUGUGAGAGUGGAAAGUUCACACAGUGACGGUAGCUUACCAGAAAGGGGACGGCUAACUACGUGCCAGCAGCCGCGGGUAAUACGUAGGUCCCCGAGCGUUGUCCGGAUUUAUUGGGCGUAAAGGGAGCGCAGGCGGUCAGGAAAGUCUGGAGUAAAAGGCUAUGGCUCAACCAUAGUGUGCUCUGGAAACUGUCUGACUUGAGUGCAGAAGGGGAGAGUGGAAUUCCAUGUGUAGCGGUGAAAUGCGUAGAUAUAUGGAGGAACACCAGUGGCGAAAGCGGCUCUCUGGUCUGUCACUGACGCUGAGGCUCGAAAGCGUGGGUAGCGAACAGGAUUAGAUACCCUGGUAGUCCACGCCGUAAACGAUGAGUGCUAGGUGUUAGGCCCUUUCCGGGGCUUAGUGCCGGAGCUAACGCAAUAAGCACUCCGCCUGGGGAGUACGACCGCAAGGUUGAAACUCAAAGGAAUUGACGGGGGCCCGCACAAGCGGUGGAGCAUGUGGUU